rnacentral:rRNA from 1 species
UCACCUACGGUGGGCAGCAGUGGGGAAUUUUGCGCAAUGGGGGAAACCCUGACGCAGCAACGCCGCGUGCGGGACGAAGGCCCUCGGGCUGUAAACCGCUUUCAGCAGGGAAGACGUCGACGGUACCUGCAGAAGAAGCUCCGGCUAACCACGUGCCAGCAGCCGCGGUAAUACGUAGGGGGCGAGCGUUAUCCGGAUUCAUUGGGCGUAAAGCGCGCGUAGGCGGCCGCCUAAGCGGAACCUCUAACCCCGGGGCUCAACCUCGGGCCGGGUUCCGGACUGGGCGGCGCGAGUGCGGUAGAGGA